GGGCUUAAUAAUUGCCUCCACCACGAGGCCCAAAGAAACCAUAAUAUCCUAUCAGGCCAGCUUAACUGACCCAUGGCUCAAGCCCAGGAAGUAGGCUUGGACCUUAGGUGUUCAAACAAACAUAAAGGCACGACCCUAAGUGGGGAAGCCCAUGAUCUCUGGCCCAGUUUAUAAAAGGCCCAUGAUUGACGGCUAAGGGACAUGUGUCCCAAAUCCCCAGGGGGGCACGCAUCCCGCAGAUAGGGUUGAGGGAUCACUUCCCGAGAAACCCUAGCCUUAUAAAAGGCUCAGAUCCCAAGGUAAGGGGCAAUCAAUUCAUUCCCACCAACCAAAAACUAUCAUUGCUCUGCCUUCUCUCUAUAAAUUACUUCUCUCUCUAGGUUAUACUUACUUAAGCAUCGGAUGGAAUAUUCCUACGGGAAUAUUCUUGUUUUGCAGGUUGCCAGAAAUUCGUGCCAGGUCAUACUUGAUACCUCCGAGGAACGCGUGACACGUCAGCACUGAAAAAGAUCCCACAACACUAUGGGUAGAAUUGAUAGAAUGUUUAUGACAAAAUAAUUGAUAUUGGUAAAUUUGUGUUCAGAAAGUUGAUGCAUCUACUAUUUAGAAGACCGUGAGUAUCUUUGCACCGCCACUAUUUUGAUAUUGGAGCCACAAAGGAAACUUUCCUUGGACACUGAGGUUGCAGCAACGUUACAGCUUUGCCUUGGCUACAUAGUUAAGCUAUCUCCAUUAUGUAUCCUCCUGUUGGUGUUUUUAGGUACUCUCUAUCUGACUUCCUUUGCGUUUCCCCCUUUGAUGCCCAUAUUUUCAUUCUACCCUU